rnacentral:lncRNA from 1 species
AACAAGUUGACUGGGUCUGCAGUCAGCUCCAUCAGAGAGUGUGAAUAACAGAGCAAAAGGCAGAAAGAUUUUAUGUGUCUGGCGAACAGAGCAUCCCCAGGGAAAUCUUCAGAGGUUGAAAACAUUUUUCGGAAUUACUGCAAUAUACUACCUUUGUCAAAGUCCUUACAGAUGUCCUGCUGUUUGGGUUUCCAAAUUACACUUCUUACACUGACUACCCAGAGCAUAAAUUCUGUUGCCACAUGGAUGUCCUGGAUUGAACCUGGCUCUAACGCUAGUAAACUUUGGGUCCUUAGCUGAAACCCCCCAAAGGCUGAGAACAAAAUGAUUGGUGCCAAAUAACCUCCACAAUCUAAAAUAAGAAGCCAGGCCAUAUAUGCAGGACUUGCAAAAGAAGUAUUCUGGAAAUUUCCUUUGGCAACCCCUAGCAUAAGAACUGUCUCAAGGAUAUUUAAAAGGUUGGAGAGCCAAAAAAGAGGACUACUAUUUUUUGAGACUUCCAAUUUCUUUGGAGAGAGCUAUUAGAAUGGUAUGGCAAUCACCACCAAUUCUGACUUAACACACACACCUCACUGCCCUGACAGAGGAGAGCAAAGUGUACUUAUCCCUGACCUCAAGCCAAGUAAGUGGAGAUGAAGAAAACUACUCAAAGAAAUUGGCAAUCUAUGAAAUACAUAGACUGAUGCCAUCUUUAUUUCAAGAAAAGUUCAAAUGUAGGACAUUGUGGUGGCUUCAUUGGUCAGCAGCUGCACUCAUCCCAUGUUUCCCAGGAAUUAAUUGUAGGGCUCAAACUGGGAUUCAGCUUGGAUCCCACACAAAAAGAGCUGUCUAGAGGGAAGACAAGACCCCAACAGAGUCGACAGACCACUGGGUGCCCAUGGUCUGGGAGGAAUUAUAAGCAGACACCUAGCAGAGAACCUCAGGAAAUGUGGCUGGAGGUUGCCAGUGGGAAAAUCUUUUAGAAAUCCAUAAAAGCUCCUCAUGAGAUAAUGAGUCAGCUUUGGACAACCACCAGGCCCUGAAAUCAACAAAGUGAGAUCAUGAUGGUAUGACAGUACUAGCAUGUUAAAUCUUUACUGCCCCGAACGUCUCUUCCUCCUUUCACUCCCACCCCCACCCAAGCCACUCCCAAACUGAAGGAGUCAAAGGCAUCUUAUUAUUGUAUGGUGACAUAGGAGCUUUAGCCUCAAAUGAAGCUUGGAGUCCUGAUUACCAUCAUGGACUGGCAAUUUUAAUUCUGAAGUAAGAUGGUUAUUGCAUCUAGAAGUAUGAGGGAAUUUUUAUUAGCUAAAAAUAAUAUAGCCACUGGAGAAGCUAUGAAACCUGCUCAAGAUUUUAUUCAAUGCCCAGGGAAGAAAUUGUCUACACAGCUGUUUUAAAGGAGCAGUGUAUUUUGUUUUCUUCUCACAUUCUGAAUCUCACAUAUUUGUUAUAAUCUUUACACUUAGAUUGUGUUAUCUUUUUAGUCCAGUAUAACAUAAUGAUUAAAGGUGCUACUUGUGAAGAAAGAGUUCCUAGAUCCACCACCCACAGCUUGUGUCAACUUGGGCAAAUGACCUGGUCAUUCCAAGCUUUCUGCUCUGGAAAGUGGAAAUAGUAAUUGUACUUACAUCAUAGUGUUGAUGUGAGGGCUAAAAUCAAAUUAUGUAGGCAAAUCCCUUAGUAUUGCAGCUACCAUAGUGAGUGCUUG